GCGGGGGAAACAUUUUAGUAACGGACCGAAUAGAUGAUUAUCUCGGCUAGUGGGGGAAAAUGACUAAAAAAAACGUGAAACGUAAUGAGAUAAAUGAUGACAGGCGAGUGGCGAGAUGUUGAACCUUGUUUCUGCGGAGGCGCGGCGUCGGACAGCCGGUCUGUUGGUUGCUGAACGUGGAAGCAGAUGGCUUGGUGGUCAGUGUGGCGUCGAGUAUUGAACCCAGGGCGUGAUGGAUGAGUGUUUGGAGCUGAUAUGGUGGACAUGUUAAAGCACCCAUCGACAUACAAUUGUGAUUGUCCUGGACAUUGAAUGCCUGUGGGCUGUUUCACCCCACCAGCAGGUCAACCUGGUAUGAAGCAACCAAGUCCUGACAUGACCUCACCUCCUCAAGGUCAGUACCCCUGCAAGGGGAUAACUCUUCUGAUGACACACCCCUGAGCAUGGCCAGCUGCAUGAGCACUGCAGACUCCGAGCUGUCAGCGGAAAAGACUGCAUGAACUUUUAGUGGACACUGGAGAUACAUAUGGGCCUCUGAGUUGUGGACUAAGACUGUCACUGAAUAUGAUACUGAGAGAAGAAACAGUGUCUGCCGUUGUGAUCUGAGGGGGAGAAAGCAUUGCUAGCAUCUAUGGAGGACUGAGAACAGAGCCUGCUACAACUGGUGUUCUCUCCAGCUAUGGAAGAUGCAACGUCUGGGUUCCUGCUCUUCCUCCCACCUGACCUGCCACACGUCACUCUGUUCUACGACAGCAACCGCACAGACUGGUAUCAUGAUUCUUUAAGGUAAAACACAGACAGUGAUUCUAGGAAUAUGUAUGUGGCACCUGAGCGUUUGGCAGCUGCUACUGCUGAACAAUUUAUAACGAUAUAUGAGGUCGGAUGAAACGAUUUCACACAUUUGUCUUUCUCUCCAUGUUGAGCACCACAAAGAAGUAGGGGCAUGGUUAAACAUUCCCUUCAGGCAACUGAUUGGGCUCCUACCAGCGUGCAGGUUUGUUGUUUUAAAAUAUACUCAUACCUUUUAAGUUAUCUGUGAUGUAACUGAUAAGUUUAUUUCAAACAUGAGUUUGAAGUGUUACCAUGGCCGGGAACGUACUGAUCAUCAUUAAUCAGCAGAAGGUCCACGGAGGUGGGAAUACUUUCAUGUGUUCCAGUUACAUUUAAGGUUAGUAAAGAUAAAAUACCGAUUUGCCAAGGAACGUGUCUUUCGUGGGCUGUGUUAUUUUCCGCAGGAACAACCAAUGUGUCCCCCAAUAACAAGCAAAGCGUUCUAACAAACCUAAACUACAGCGCGUGGAAGACACAUUAUAGUUUUGGGACUAAAUGGCUGCUGUGACAACUACAUGGUGGGUACGUUGAUCUCACGCAACCUUUGAGGGACCUCGGGAAAAUAUCAGGUAUGAUAAAGUUGAAUAAGAUUUUGAAUUGGAUUCAGGAUUCGAGGAAUUUUUUUUCUUCUUACUUCACCAAAGAUUACCCUAUGCAGUUGAAUUGACUAUUAUUGACAGCUUCUUAUGUAAUGAUGGGUGUGGAGCAGAACCCGAUAUUCUGCAGAACAGUUAUUCCUUUAAACUGGAUUUAAUAGAAGACAGGUGAACAUAAACAGGAUCCAAAUAGAUUUAAGGCAGACAUCCAAACAAGGUGGACGGGAACUGGCGAACAGACUUGGCAGAGUAAACUGAAACAGGUAAUCCAAAACAGAAUCAAGGUGCCGGGGCUCUUACCAAAACAGAGAGAGUAACCGAGGAGGAACAGGAGCAUGGGCAUGUGAGUGUGACGGACCAACAAAUAACUGAGGAGCAAGUGAGGCUUAAAUAAAACAGGUGAGCAGAGGGAACUAAUUAACCAUAGGACGGUGGAAGCAAUAACGAUGCUGACAGAAGAAUAAACCUAAGACUGAGGAUAACACAAAGCACAGAACACAGAUAAGGACUAAUACAAAGACCGGAAAACUUAAAACCAUAAACAGACUAAACAGGAACCUAAAACAAGAUAGAACCUACAAAAGAAAUAAAACCAGAGGCAGGAGAGAACUAACUUCACCAAACAAUAAACCUAGACAAAAACAGAACGUUACAUUUUACUGUUGUUUCUGGAAUAAAACUAGUUUGAUUCCAAAAGGGGGAUGUACAUAUCAGUAAAUGUUAGA